ACGCUGACAGAAUGCUUAACACAUGCAAGUCUACUUGAACUUCGGUUUGGGUGGCGGACGGGUGAGUAACGCGUAAAGAACUUGCCUCACAGUUAGGGACAACAUUUGGAAACGAAUGCUAAUACCUGAUAUUAUGAUUUUAGGGCAUCCUAAGAUUAUGAAAGCUAUAUGUGCUGUGAGAGAGCUUUGCGUCCCAUUAGCUAGUUGGAGAGGUAACGGCUCACCAAGGCGAUGAUGGGUAGCCGGCCUGAGAGGGUGAACGGCCACAAGGGGACUGAGACACGGCCCUUACUCCUACGGGAGGCAGCAGUGGGGAAUAUUGGACAAUGGACCAAAAGUCUGAUCCAGCAAUUCUGUGUGCACGAUGACGUUUUUCGGAAUGUAAAGUGCUUUCAGUUGGGAAGAAAAGAAUGACGGUACCAACAGAAGAAGUGACGGCUAAAUACGUGCCAGCAGCCGCGGUAAUACGUAUGUCACAAGCGUUAUCCGGAUUUAUUGGGCGUAAAGCGCGUCUAGGUGGCUAUGUAAGUCUGAUGUGAAAAUGCAGGGCUCAACUCUGUAUUGCGUUGGAAACUGCAUGACUAGAGUACUGGAGAGGUAAGCGGAACUACAAGUGUAGAGGUGAAAUUCGUAGAUAUUUGUAGGAAUGCCGAUGGGAAAGCCAGCUUACUGGACAGAUACUGACGCUAAAGCGCGAAAGCGUGGGUAGCAAACAGGAUUAGAUACCCUGGUAGUCCACGCCGUAAACGAUGAUUACUAGGUGUUGGGGGUCGAACCUCAGCGCCCAAGCUAACGCGAUAAGUAAUCCGCCUGGGGAGUACGUACGCAAGUAUGAAACUCAAAGGAAUUGACG
rnacentral:rRNA from 1 species